AAUAUUGCACAAUGGGCGCAAGCCUGAUGCAGCCAUGCCGCGUGUGUGAAGAAGGCCUUCGGGUUGUAAAGCACUUUCAGCGAGGAGGAAAGGUUAGUGGUUAAUACCUACUAGCUGUGACGUUACUCGCAGAAGAAGCACCGGCUAACUUCGUGCCAGCAGCCGCGGUAAUACGAGGGGUGCAAGCGUUAAUCGGAAUUACUGGGCGUAAAGCGCAUGCAGGCGGCCAAGUCAGUCAGAUGUGAAAGCCCCGGGCUCAACCUGGGAAUAGCAUUUGAUACUGCUUGGCUAGAGUCUUGUAGAGGGGGGUAGAAUUUCAGGUGUAGCGGUGAAAUGCGUAGAGAUCUGAAGGAAUACCAGUGGCGAAGGCGGCCCCCUGGACAAAGACUGACGCUCAGAUGCGAAAGCGUGGGGAGCAAACAGGAUUAGAUACCCUGGUAGUCCACGCCGUA
rnacentral:rRNA from 1 species